UCGAGUGGGUUUAGACCCACGGCGAGCGGGUGAGUAAUACCUAGGAAUUUUCUUUAAGUUGAGCAUAUCCCACCGAAAGGUGGUGCAAUUCUCGAUGUGAACGCAAGUUUAAAGUCGCAAGACGCUUAAAGUGAAGCCUGGGCACUAUCAGCUAGUUGGUAAGGUAAUGGCUUACCAAGGCUAUGACAGUUAGGGGCCCUGAGAGGGGUAACCCCCACACUGGGACUGCGACACGGCCCAG
rnacentral:rRNA from 1 species